rnacentral:rRNA from 1 species
AUGGGGGUGGAGAUCCUGAGCUCCACGGGGGAACACUCCUCCCAGUACUCUUCCGGGGCCGUGUCCACAGCCACGACGGAGUCAGGCGUCGGCGGACGGCCGCCGACUGCGCCGAGCCUACCUGUCGCCAUCGCCGACGAGUCGGUGACCUCGCGGUCGGCAUCGGCGCAGUCGGCGUCGUCGCGGUUCAAGGGGGUUGUGCCGCAGCCCAACGGGCGGUGGGGCGCCCAGAUCUACGAGCGCCACGCUCGCGUCUGGCUCGGCACGUUCCCGGACGAGGACUCUGCGGCGCGCGCCUACGACGUGGCAGCGCUCCGGUACCGGGGCCGCGAGGCCGCCACCAACUUCCCCUCCGCGGCCGCAGAGGCGGAGCUCGCCUUCCUGGCGGCGCACUCCAAGGCCGAGAUCGUCGACAUGCUCCGGAAGCACACCUACGCCGACGAGCUCCGCCAGGGCUUGCGGCGCGGCCGCGGCAUGGGGGCCCGCCCGCAGCCGACGCCGUCGUGGGCACGGGAGCCCCUCUUCGAGAAGGCCGUGACCCCGAGCGACGUCGGCAAGCUCAACCGCCUCGUGGUGCCGAAGCAGCACGCCGAGAAGCACUUCCCCCUGAAGCGCACGCCGGAGACGACGACCACCACCGGCAAGGGGGUGCUGCUCAACUUCGAGGACGGCGAGGGGAAAGUGUGGAGGUUCCGGUACUCGUACUGGAACAGCAGCCAGAGCUACGUCCUCACCAAGGGUUGGAGCCGCUUCGUCCGGGAGAAGGGCCUCGGUGCCGGCGACUCCAUCGUGUUCUCGUGCUCGGCAUACGGUCAGGAGAAGCAGUUCUUCAUCGACUGCAAGAAGAACAAGACGAUGGCGAGCUGCCCCGCUGACGGCGGCGCCGCAACGGCGUCGCCGCCUGUGGCAGAGGCAGCUAAUGGAGAACAAGUCCGUGUCGUGAGGCUGUUUGGCGUCGACAUCGCCGGAGAGAAGAGGGGGCGAGCAGCGCCAGCGGAGCAGGAGUUGUUCAAGAGGCAAUGCGUGGCACACAGCCAGCACUCUCCUGCCCUAGGUGCCAUCGUCUUAUAG